ensembl:lincRNA
UGUGUCUCCCAUGCCUGCCUCCUUAGCCAGAGCUGCUGCUUUUCUGCCUUGGCCUCUAGGUUCAGCUCAUCCCUCUUCUCCCUAAUGUCCUUGUGGAGCCAGAAAACAGCAGCAUGUUUCCAAGGACUCUAAGCCUGGGCAUUUUAAGAGCCUACCUUCCCCCAUCAUUUCAGUUUCAUCUGCAGGCUGCAGAGUGAGCAGACGCAUGUAUGGCACCGGCAGAGCGGCUCUUAAUGACUCAAGAUGAACAGGUUGAAUCCUCUUGAAAAACAACAUGAUACAGCACACUCCCCCUCCUCACUCAUAUCAUCCCUUGUUUUUAUUAAAUAAAAGUAAGUGGAGCUAUAAGAUGUGACUGGCCUGGAUCCCAGCUUCAUAAAACAAAACUAACACCCUCUUUA